AACGGACGAAAACACGCCGAGCUCGCUACAGACGUUUGCAGAAACCGAAAAGGACACAAGGCACAGCACAAGGCAGAACAAUAGUUCCCGGCUCUGUUAGAAUUUCUUCACUUGCACGAGGCAGCGGCCCACAGCAAUCUCACAGCAAUAAGAUGUCAAGACAGUUCAUCGAGACAUACAUGGACGAGUUCGACGAUUACAACAUUCAGCAGGAUAAAUUCAUUCAUUCCAGCCACAGCGGCAAAGGAAGGACGAAGAGAGAGGCUAGCCAGCACACAAACCAUCACGACCCCAACGGUCACGUUCGUAAGACUGUACAAAAACUCAUGAACAAUCACCACAAUAAUGUGAAAAGACAGAAUUCCAGCGAGUGUCGAUCAUGACGCAUAGGGGAUGUUUAUGGCAGGAAAUAGGGACCAAACCAUGCUGCUGGCAAAGCUGAGGUGAAAGCUCACUUGUGUGCAUUCAACCAAAUCCAUGACCCGGCUACUUAAAUGAAAACGGACUCGCGAGCCUGAACUUUGGACGUUGACUUCUGGACAUUUUACUGUAGUAAGGGGAGGACUUGUUUCGGACAGCCCUCACCUGAAGAGUUAGUCAACAAAAUGGCAAAAAAGUGCAAACCAUUGACAUUUAUACUCUUACAUUAGUAUAUCAACCAGAUGUUUUAUAAUUGCGAUAUAUGAUCGUGAUGGAGUACGUUUGUGCAUUUGUGUAUUUAUACAAUGGUAUGCAAACCAAACAUAGAUACGUUAUAUAAAUAAACAUUAAGACACGUGUGUUGUUUUAAAAAAAGAACAAACAUUUGACUUAUUGUGUAACUAUGAA